GGGUGGUAGCGGCGCUGGAGUAGGUCUGGGUCUAGGAGAGCGGCCCGGAGCGUCUGUAAUGCCGCAGCCGUUCGCGGCGGGAGCGUGGACCAAGCCGGGCUCUGGCGGCCAGGCCUGCCGAGGGCUACCGCGUCCGACCUGGCCCUGUGCCUCGGAGCCUCUCGCGGUCCCGCCGCCCAUGUGAGAGCGGAGGCCUGGUUUCCGCCCAUGGGCCGCGAUACUUCACUAAAACAGCUUUUAUUUUAAAAUACUGUAAAGCGCUCUCAUCUGUGUGAUCGGGGCUUCGCUGACUUUCCGGCCUACUUAAGCCCCUGGGCCUAGGCCCAGGAAGGGUUUGUUGAACCGGGAGCUAAGAAGGGAAUUGGCUCGUUCGACAGACGUUUUCUGCGCAGCUGUGACGUGCAAGGCACGGGGCCGGUGCGGGACCUCCAGAGAGACCUGUGCCCAAAGCUUGAGAAAUGAGAAGCAGAUUCCUGGAUUCCAGGUAAAUCAGAGGAACAAACCUGAACAGAAAUAUACAGGAAGUGAUGUGAUGCUGAAGCUUAACGCUUAUUUCAGAAGUCUGGUAUCUGGUGCUCUUAACAGCAGAAACUAUAUUAUUUGCAAAAUCACCACGCUUUUACUUGUAUUAUAUAGUAAUUUUUUAAAAAAUAAAUAUUGACAAUUUGUUCUUGAAAGCCUGAAUUGUUUAUUGCCUACCCUAAACUGUUUAAUUCUGCUCUUGUGUCAACUGGAAUAGGGAAGAGUAUUUGCAAGCUUAAGAUCUGAGGAUCCAGGAGUUCCCGUGGUGGCUCAGUGGUUAACGAAUCCAACUAGGAACCAUGAGGCCUUGCUCAGUGGGUUGAGGAUCCAGCAUUGCCAUGAGCUGUGGUGUAGGUCACAGAUGCGGCUCAGAUCUGGUGUUGCUGUGGGCUGUGGUAUAGGCCGGUGGCUACAGCUCUGACUGAACCACUAGCCUGGGAACCUCCAUAUGCUGUGGUGUAGCCCUAGAAAAGGCAAAAGGACAAAAAAAUCUGAGGAUCCAGAGUUGUAGAGCUAGUCUUGGG
rnacentral:lncRNA from 1 species